AUUGAACGCUGGCGGCAGGCCUAACACAUGCAAGUCGAGCGGAUGAGGGGUGCUUGCACUCUGAUUCAGCGGCGGACGGGUGAGUAAUGCCUAGGAAUCUGCCCGAUAGUGGGGGACAACGUUUCGAAAGGAACGCUAAUACCGCAUACGUCCUACGGGAGAAAGUGGGGGAUCUUCGGACCUCACGCUAUCGGAUGAGCCUAGGUCGGAUUAGCUAGUUGGUGAGGUAAUGGCUCACCAAGGCUACGAUCCGUAACUGGUCUGAGAGGAUGAUCAGUCACACUGGAACUGAGACACGGUCCAGACUCCUACGGGAGGCAGCAGUGGGGAAUAUUGGACAAUGGGCGAAAGCCUGAUCCAGCCAUGCCGCGUGUGUGAAGAAGGUCUUCGGAUUGUAAAGCACUUUAAGUUGGGAGGAAGGGCUGUAGGCUAAUAUCCUGCAGUUUUGACGUUACCAACAGAAUAAGCACCGGCUAACUUCGUGCCAGCAGCCGCCGUAACAC
rnacentral:rRNA from 1 species